GUGUGGGUGGACAUCGUGAACAAGGCGGGUACACAGCCGUGAUGCUGGCCUCCUGACAGCUGUCUGAUGGAUCAGAGGACAUGGAGGUGGCUCUGCACUACUGAGACAGGGAGAUGUCAUGCCCGCGCCAGCCAGGCAGGGCAGACGGCUCUGAUGCUAUCGGUCAGCCAUGGCCGUACAGCCAUGGUGCGGUUGCUGCUGAGCUGCCAAGCUGACCUCAACAUUCAGGACAAAGACGGUUCGACCGCACUCAUGUGCGCGUGUGAGCACGGUCACACCGAGAUCGUUCGGGUGCUACUGGAGUCUGGCCACUUGUGACCCACCAGCCUCACAGACAAGGAUGGUCAGAGGGCUCUGUCGGUGGCGGUAGCGUCCUCCCACGCUGAGAUAGUUGACCUACUCAAGACCCACUCAGAUUCCACCACCACCCAGGCCUCCAACCCCUCUACCACCACCUCUGCCACCAUCAUCACCACCACCACAGCCUCUCUCCUCUGAGGCCCCUCCUGUAGCCCCUCUCUAACCCCUACCCCAGCCCCGGACCCACCCACCCUGGACCCACUAUACCCCGGACCUCUUUCCCUGGACCAGAGGAGGCUGGUGGGUGGAGGUAUAAGAGGACUCCUAUAGCUCCUCCCACCAGCCUCCACUGUCAUGGACCAUACCCUUUUCCAGACUGCCUGGAGGACAAACAAAGGCUGUAUUCACCACCACUGCCUAUGUCUCCCCACCGACCAGAGCUCAGCUCACAGAUAGGCCUAUUGGACCGGAGCCCCACGGAACCAGAAUAGUACACAUUCUUCACAUUUCUGCCAACAUUUAGUGAGUGGGAACAAUGUAUCAACUGUUUGGCAGCCAGCCAAUGUGACACUCAAAAACCCAGUAGCAGUGGCAACAGUGGUGAUUGACAGGUGAUCCAGGAAGAGGGCAGAAGGACACCAGAAGGAUGAUGGAUUGCUGCUUUCUAAUAUAAAACAAGCUAUUCAGGCCAAAAUAAUCUUAAACACAUGAUCUACCUUAAAAAUCGGUCAUUUUAUUAUCAAUUCUAUGUUUUUCCUUUUUCCUUUUUAUACCUGUAGCUAGGUUUCCAUCCAAUUGGCAACAGAUUUUCAUGCGAAUAUUUUAAAAUCCGCAUAACGAAAAUAUGCACAUUUUCCGCCCGAUGGUGUGUUUUAAGCAAACUGACUUGUGGCAGGAAAAUUUAAUCUGUGCGUGAUGUAUUGCACACAAAAUUUUAAUUUUCGCUUAAAUUCAAGUUCAACGUUUUUUGUUGUUGUGUGUUUAAAAAAAAUAUAUG